rnacentral:rRNA from 1 species
GCUACGGGGGGCAGCAGUGGGGAAUAUUGCACAAUGGGGGAAACCCUGAUGCAGCAACGCCGCGUGAGCGAUGAAGGCCUUCGGGUCGUAAAGCUCUGUCCUAAGGGAAGAAUACUGACGGUACCUUAGGAGGAAUCCCCGGCUAACUACGUGCCAGCAGACGCGGUAAUACGUAGGGGGCUAGCGCUAUCCGGAAUUACUGGGCGUAAAGGGUGCGUAGGCGGCACUUCAAGUCAGAGGUGAAAGGUUACGGCGUAACCGUCGUAAGCAUUUGAAGCUGUAGGGGUUGGGUACAGGAGAGGGGAGUGGAAUUCCCAGUGUAGCGAUGAAAUGCGUAGAUAUUGGGAGGAACACCAGUUGCGAAGGCGGCUCUCUGGCGUGUAACUGACGCUGAGGCACGAAAGCGUGGGGAGCGAACAGGAUUAGAUACCCCUGUAGUC